CCUACGGGAGGCAGCAGUAGGGAAUCUUCCACAAUGGGCGAAAGCGUGAUGGAGCAACGCCGCGUGGGUGAAGAAGGUCUUCGGAUCGUAAAACCCUGUUGUUAGAGAAGAAAGUGCGUGAGAGUACCUGUUCACUGUUCGACGGUAUCUAACCAGAAAGCCACGGCGAAUUACGUGCCAGCAGCCGCGGUAAUACGUAGGUGGCCAGCGUUAUCCGGAUUUAUUGGGCGGAAAGGGAACGCAGGCGGUCUUGUAAGUCUGAUGUGAAAGCCGUGGGCUUAAACGGAGUAGUGCAUUGGAAACUGGGUGACUUGAGUGCAGAAGAGGGAAGUGGAACUCCAUGUGUAGCGGUGAAAUGCGUAGAUAUAAGGAAGAACACCAGUGGCGAAAGCGGCUCUCUGGUCUGUAACUGACGCUGAGGUUCGAAAGCGUGGGUAGCAAACAGGAUUAGAUACCCGGGUAGUC
rnacentral:rRNA from 1 species